rnacentral:rRNA from 1 species
GGGCUAAUAUAUUGUGGUCUUAGUAUUAACUAAAAUAGUUUGGCAGUGAGUUAUUCCUAUCAGGGGAAGGUGUGUUAUAAAGGACGAUCCGCCUAUUAGUUUACUUUCAUUAUGUUGGUGUAUAUCUAGUUAAAUAUUAUUGUUUAGUAACUUAAUUUGUGUAGGGUGAUUAGUUAAGCUAAGUCUAUGUGCUGCGUAUGGGAGUUUUUAUGCGUUACAUUUAUAAUAAAUUUGUGUGGGAGACAAAUUGAUUAAGGACUCGAAAGUAAUGUAAAAUUAGUUUGUUUAUG